GGGCGAUUAGCUCAGUUGGUUAGAGCGCCGCUUUGACAUGGCGGAGGCCACAGGUUCGAAUCCUGUAUUGCCCACCA
rnacentral:tRNA from 1 species